AUGGACUCUGUCUCAAUAUUUUGUUUCUUCUCAUAUGCUAUUUGUGGUCACCCCAAAAUAUUUUCCACUGAGAUCAGGGUGCCAUUUGGAAGCAAUGCAAACCUUGCAUGUAUGAGCAAUUUCAGAUCUGAUACAAAUAACCAAGAGAAAGGAAGAAGGCAAGGUGCGAGUAGUCCAGAAAGGAUCUAUGGGACAUUCCAUGGAAGUCAUAACAGAAGAGGCGAAUUCUAUGCCAACCCUACUGCCUCUUCUGUUAUGAGAAGAAACAAAAUAUUCACAAUGGAGGAAAGACUAAAGAUGACCCCUGGAGGAGCGAAGAAUUCUGAAGAUGAUACCACCAGGAAAAAAGUGGUGACUGAUAUUGGGGCUGGAGAUGAUUCUUUUGUCAGAUAG
rnacentral:rRNA from 1 species